CUCUGCCUCUGCCUCUGCCUCUGCCUCUGCCUCUGCCUCUGCCUCUGCCUCUGCCUCUGCCUCCCAAUUGCUGGGAUUAAAGGCAUGCGCCACCAAUGCCCCGGCUGUUCUUUUUUAAAGAUUUAUUUAUCAGAUAUACAGUGUUCUGCCUUUGUGCCAGAAGAGGACACCAGAAUGAAUUGUAGAUGGUUGUAAGCCACCAUGUGGUUGCUGGGAAUUGAACUCAGGACCUCUGGAAGAACAGCCAGUGCUUUUAACCACUGAGCCAUCUCUCCAGCAGUGAAGCUUCUUUCAAGUAAAUUUUGCAAGUUUGUGUGUACUGAGUGUAUGCACACAUGUUACCCCCAUUCUAUAGAAGCUACGUUUUAUUAACAUAGGUGUCCUUUUAUAAAUUUAGUACAGUGUACUCACCAUAAAGUCGGUGUAGGAAAAUGUCACAGUGAUUGGUGAUGCAGUUUCAUUAGAAUUUAGUAAAUAGCAGAUUUGUGUGAUGAAAAGCUUUUGUUUUGUAAAAAUAAUAUUUCAGGUCUGGAGGUGUAGCUCAAUUGGUAGAGUACUUGCCUAGCAUACAUGAAGCCCUGGGUUCCAUCCCAACACUGCAUAAAAACAAACAGUAUGGGUGGUGUAUGCCUGUAGCCCUAGCACUUGAGAGGAGGAAGCAGGAAGAACAGAAGUUCAAGGCAUCCUCAACUGCAUAGUGAGUUCAAGGCCAGCCUGGGCUACAUUGAGACCCUGUUUCAAAAAAUUGUGGGUGGUAAGGCUGGAGAAAUGGUCCAGUGGUUAAGAGCAAUUGCUAUUCUUGCAGAGGACUAGAGUUUAAUUCCCAGCACCUACAUUGGUGACUCACCACAGCCUUUAACUCCAGGGCCAGGAGAUGCAACACCCUCUUCUUCUGAUCUCUUAGGGUACCCACACCUCUCUCUCUCUCUCUCUCUCUCUCUCUCUCUCUCUCUCUCUCUCACACACACACACACACACACACACACACACACACCAAAAAUCUUUAAAACAUUUUAAAAUUUAUAUUUGUAGAUGAUUCAACCUCUUGUGUUGAUUCUCAAGUACUCUAUGGAACAUUGUUUUAAAACCUUGGGUGUGAGCUCCAAGAUUCGAACUGAUCCGCUGUGAACUGCUGGUGUCUCCACUCGCCUCAUCAGGUAAAUGAGCAGAGUUCUUUGUUCAUUCCAUCUUUCUUCAGAUGUGGAUGGUAUAGGGCCCGCCUGCAGUUCAGAAAAGUUGUAGCUUUGUCUCCUGAGUAAAUAGAUAAUUUUCUACUUUGUACAGCUUUAUCUUUUCAAAAUAAAUAGUACUUAAAUGCAUUUGCUAUGGUAGGGAAUCGUGUGCCUUCCGAGAUGUGUGAACUGCCUCCUGCUCUGGGGAGUUUUUGUGCUAUGCUCAUUCAGUAACUGUGGGUUGACUGGGAUGCUUUAGACACUGGGUUUCAGAAAAUGAGUUUGACUGUGUAGUGGUGUAAAGACAGCAGAACCUGCUUUAUUCUUAGGGAAAACUAAUACAGUGUGCAAUAAGUAAACUUUGCAAGUGAACAUUAGCUAAUGAAAAAGACUUUUACUUAUGUAAUUUCACAUUCUUAUGUACUAAAUAUUUAUAUUUAUUAGAAGACUGUUUUAUAUUGUGCUCUGAGGAUCAUGGUGUUUGCGUGCUAUGUUUUGAUGUUUUCCUUAUAUUAAUAUAUAUCUGGGUAAUAAGGCUGCUUGGAAACCUUUUGGUCCCCUGAUUUUUAACACUGGGAAGUUGGAUUCAUUAAAAAAUAGUCCAGAUAAUUUGCAUUUGUAGUGUUGGGAGUUUCCUUGCUCUGGGAGUUGUUUCUCAACUGAAGGUUACUUUGUCAGCUCACCCCACACAUCUGUGAGUGGCAGCACAAUGGCAGUAUAAACAGUGGUGUGACUUUGCUUGCCUCCUCUGCCCUACUGCCCAUGAGACAGAACAGAGGAUUAGCACUGCGCCCUGGCAGCUCUGCACUUCCCGUGUAAACAGAUGUCAGUAGAGAAGUACCUUGAGUCUCACUGCCCAAGAGGGAAAGCAGAAGGAGGUGGCAGCUUAGGGGCAAGUUUGCUGGUGCCCAUCAACCACACUGUGGAGAAGUACA
rnacentral:lncRNA from 1 species